rnacentral:misc_RNA from 1 species
GAAAUGCGAUAAGUAGUGUGAAUUGCAGAAUUCAGUGAAUCAUCGAAUCUUUGAACGCACAUUGCGCCCUUUGGUAUUCCUUAGGGCAUGCCUGUUCGAGCGUCAUCUAAACCUUCAAGCCCUGCUUGGUGUUGGGUGCCUGUCCCGCCUCCGCGCGCGGACUCACCUCAAAUCCAUUGGCGGCCCCCGCGUCGGCCACGAGCGCAGCAGAAACGCGAACUCGUGAGCCCGUCCGGGCGGCUCCCAGAAGCUACACCCACCCAGUUUGACCUCGGAUCAGGUAGGGAUACCCGCUGAACAGACGC